rnacentral:lncRNA from 1 species
UAUGGGGGCUACUGGGCAGGGUAACUGGGGCUAUAGGGGCAGAGAUAUGGGCAGGGAUUAGUGGGGCUGAUGGUCAGAGCUAUGGGGCUCUAUGGGGCAGGUAGGGGCUAUAGGGCUGAGCUAUGGGGCAGGGGGAUGGGCUGCCCUAUAGGCUCUAUGGGGCUUGGUUUUGCUUUAUAGGCUAUAGGUGGGCUAUGGGCUGGCCCUCAUAGGGGGCAUGGGGCAGGGUAUAGGGCUAUAGGGCAGAGAUAUGGGGCAGGAUAUGGGGCUAUGGGGCUGAGCUAUGGGGCUCUAUGGGGCAGGGUAUGGGGCUAUAGGGCUGAGCUAUGGGGCAGGGUAUGGGGCUGCCCUAUAGGGCUCUAUGGGGCUGCUUUAUAGGGCUCUAUGGGGGCUAUGGGGCUGCCCUAUAGGGGGGCUAUGGGGCAGGGUUAUAGGGCUAUAGGGCAGAGAUAUGGGGCAGGGCUAUGGGGCAGGGUAUGGGGCUGCCUAUAGGCAUCUGAAGGCUUUGCUUUAUAUGGGCUCUAUGGGGCUAUGGGCUGCCCGCUAUAUGGGGGCUAUGGGGCAUGGUAUAGGCUACUAGGGCAAGAGAUAUGGGGCAUGGAGAUGGGGCUAUGGGGGCAGGGUAUAGGCUGCCCUAUAUGGC